AUGUUAGAAACACUAAACCCUAGCCCUCAUCGACACAACAACUGAUACCGUCAAACCCACCCCCUGUAUCGCCUCUUUUCUAACUCGCUUCAGUUUCUGGUGGACCUCUGGUAUCACCACCCUCGCUCACUCAAAUGCUCUUCCUUUUAACCUGGCUGAUCGACGCUCUGCCACUCUACGUUUCUUUACCUCUGUUUCUCUUCUCAAACCCCUAAUUGCACAUGUGUCUAAUGAAGAUCCAACUUUUGAAACCCUAUCUAGCCGAUGCCAUCGCCACCCCCUCUCUCGCCCCUUUUCUACCUUCUAUUAUGACAAGAAACCCUAACUGUCUCGACAUAGUCUCUGCCCUUACACAUAUAUUUUGACGACGAACCACACCACGAUCUUUCUUUGUCUCUCUCUAUCUCUCUCAGGUGUAAUUUCUUUUUGUUAUUCUGUUGCUAUUUGUCUCUCUCUCUAUCUCUCUCAGAAAUGGCAGGUACCCAUGAUUCGUGGAAAUGAAAAUCAAGGGCCUUAUUUGGACUGUAAAACCAAAUGAAGAUGAUGAUCAGAUCUCCACUAAGAAAGGCAUCAAUGAGUAGGUAAGGUUUUUUUGGAGUCGAUUUCAUGUUUUUCCCCAAAAAGCAUUAAAAUCUAAUCUUCUUUCCUACCUUGUGCAUUUCUUUUUGUGUUUUCUACUCUCUGGCAUCACAAACAUCACAAGUAAACCCAGGUGUUGGAUGAAAUGUCUCAAUGAAACUUCGUUGACAGAUCUCUUUACCUGGUCAGGAAACUCUGCAGCCAACUCACCUAUGACCAGAUCUUCCUCUCGCGUUCAGGUAAAUACAAAUAAAAGUUAGAUAACAAUGUUUUUUUUAAUUUUAAUUUAUGUUUGCUGUUUAUGAAGUUUAGAGUUUUUGAUAAACUGAAUGGUAGUCUUCAAAAUUUUCAAUAAGAUUAUAUCUAGAGGUCAAAGUUAGCUAAAUACAAAGCCCUGUUCAGAAGUUAUUUUCCAAGGCUUCAAUUUCAUAGUUUUUUUAUUUAAUACAUCAAUUUCUCAUGUAAAAAUGGAGUUGCUGGUUAGCUUUUAUGCGUACUGUUGAGGUGCAUUGGAUCUUGAUUUUAGGAAUCUGUCAAGAUGUGGAAUUGACAACAUUCAUAUUGAAGGUAUAACCAACACCAAAUACUAAAUAUUAUAGCUUACAGUUGUUGAUCUUGGUAUAUUGAAAUCGGACCAAUCAUGAACUGUAUGUUUGUUUUUUUUUUUGAAAUAUUGAUCAAUUGAGCAUAAAGGCUGGUGAUAAAAUUGGUCCGAAUGGUUAUGAGGGUAUCACAGUGGAACUUUCAACUUUGAUUAGGUUUCUCACUUAACCUUCCUAAAGUACGAAAGCUUCACUGGUACUUCAAAAUUUGGUUGCUAUACACAUCUGGUAUUUGGUUGUCUCAUUGUGAUGUUUUUGUUUGAAACCAUUGAUAGAGAAAAUUUGUUUGUAACCAUGGACAUAAAAGCUUUUUGCACACUAUAUUCUGGUUCAAAUAAUAAUAUAACAAAAUCUAUAUCAUCUCUUAUUUCUUAGUUUAUUUGUUUUAUGUAUUUGUUCUUCUUAUUGUGUAUUAAUAUUGGGGUAGAGGUAUAAAUGAUGUAAUUCUUAUUGGUUUUGUUGGCAAGUGCAAAACUGGAGCAAGAGAAAGCAAAGGACAAGCUAAGCAACAUGGUGUCUUGGAUAAGGCCCUAUUUCUAUCAUUCACUCAAAUAAAUAUUGGAAUCUGUUGGAGACUAUUUUGGUGUUGCUAAAGUUUUGGAGUUGAUGCUUGUGUCCCAGAAGAUCCUAAAAAGAUUGCUACUAACGUUGUGGAGUUAAAGUUAGGAGUCAAUUGUGUAGUUUUGUUUUUGAUUUUUUAAGAGAAUAAAUCUAAGCUAUGUUAUGCUUAAUUCCACUUGCAACAUUCAUUGA